CUCUGGUCUGUUUCCUGUCCCAACGGGGAAGAGGGGACUAUGUCUUUAAUGUCCACCAUUGAUGUAAAAACUGACUCCUAAGAGUGUAAUCAACCCAGUUAUGAGGUUUGUAAUUGGCCUUUCCUGCUCCGAGAUGGCCCCAGCUGCUGUGCCAUGCUCCUGGCUCCCAGCUCUGAGGUGCUGACUACAGGUCUCCCGCUGCCCUGGAAGUUUGUAGUUACAGGAUGUGAGUGGAGGAUUGGUUUAUUUUAGGUUUACAAGUAUCCUAGGAUGAAAAACAGCCUUGAGAAAUGGUUCUUGAUAGUGGGAUACCAUUCACACUGAACACAAAAGUAAGCCCAGCUUCAGAUUUAAAAUUCAGAGCAUAUUACAUAUCCGAGUCCCAUAACCACUUCUACAUUUUGUGCUGUGUAAAUUUGUUCAGUGUUUCCAUUCACUGAGAGAAGUCAGGG